rnacentral:rRNA from 1 species
AACGGCGAGUGAAGCGGUAACAGCUCAAAUUUGAAAUCUGGCCUCACGGUCCGAGUUGUAAUUUGUAGAGGAUGCUUCGAGCAUGGUCUGGCCUAAGUUCCUUGGAACAGGACGUCAUAGAGGGUGAGAAUCCCGUAUGCGGCCAGGUGCCUACGCUCAUGUGAAGCUCCUUCGACGAGUCGAGUUGUUUGGGAAUGCAGCUCAAAAUGGGUGGUAAAUUUCAUCUAAAGCUAAAUAUUGGCCAGAGACCGAUAGCGCACAAGUAGAGUGAUCGAAAGAUGAAAAGCACUUUGGAAAGAGAGUUAAACAGUACGUGAAAUUGUUGAAAGGGAAGCGCUUGCAACCAGACUUGCGCGCGGCCGAUCAUCCGGUGUUCUCACCGGUGCACUCGGCCGUGCUCAGGCCAGCAUCGGUUUUGGCGGCUGGAUAAAGGCCCUAGGAAUGUAGCUCCUCUCGGGGAGUGUUAUAGCCUAGGGUGCAAUGCAGCCUGCUGGGACCGAGGACCGCGCUUCGGCUAGGAUGCUGGCGUAAUGGUUGUAAGCGGCCCGUCUUGAAACACGGACCAAGGAGUCUAACAUCUAUGCGAGUGUUUGGGUGUCAAACCCAUACGCGUAAUGAAAGUGAACGGAGGUGAGAACCCUUAAGGGUGCAUCAUCGACCGAUCCUGAUGUCUUCGGAAGGAUUUGAGUAAGAGCAUAGCUGUUGGGACCCGAAAGAU